rnacentral:SRP_RNA from 1 species
GCUGGACAUGGUGGUCCAUGCCUGUAGUCCCAGCUACUUGGGGAGGCUGAGGCAGGAGGGCUGCAGUGCUGUAUGCUGAUCAGGUAUCUGCAUUCAGUUCAUCAUCAAUAUAGUGACUUCCCGGGAAUGAGAGACCACAAGGUUGCCUAAGGAGGGGUGAACCAGCCCCAGUUUAAAAACGGAGUAAUUCAAAACUCCUAUGCUGAUCAGUAGUGGAAUCACACCUGAGAAUAACCAUGGCACUCUUGCCUG